GAUGGACGCUGGCGGCGUGCUUAACACAUGCAAGUCGAACGGAAAGGCCCAAGCUUGCUUGGGUACUCGAGUGGCGAACGGGUGAGUAACACGUGGGUGAUCUGCCCUGCACUUCGGGAUAAGCCUGGGAAACUGGGUCUAAUACCGGAUAGGACCACUUCUUGGAUGUUGUGGUGGAAAGUUUUUUCGGUGUGGGAUGAGCUCGCGGCCUAUCAGCUUGUUGGUGGGGUAAUGGCCUACCAAGGCGUUGACGGGUAGCCGGCCUGAGAGGGUGUACGGCCACAUUGGGACUGAGAUACGGCCCAGACUCCUACGGGAGGCAGCAGUGGGGAAUAUUGCACAAUGGGCGCAAGCCUGAUGCAGCGACGCCGCGUGGGGGAUGACGGCCUUCGGGUUGUAAACUCCUUUCGCUAGGGACGAAGCGUUUUGUGACGGUACCUGGAGAAGAAGCACCGGCUAACUACGUG
rnacentral:rRNA from 1 species